rnacentral:tRNA from 1 species
GAGGGAGGCACGAAGCAAUAAAGACUGCUAAUCUUUACCUCCGUAGUUAAACUCUACGGCUCAACUCG